AAGCCCAGCUUGCUGGGUGGAUUAGUGGCGAACGGGUGAGUAACACGUGAGCAACCUGCCCCUGACUCUGGGAUAAGCGCUGGAAACGGCGUCUAAUACUGGAUAUGUCCCGUCACCGCAUGGUGUGCGGGUGGAAAGAUUUUUCGGUUGGGGAUGGGCUCGCGGCCUAUCAGCUUGUUGGUGAGGUAAUGGCUCACCAAGGCGUCGACGGGUAGCCGGCCUGAGAGGGUGACCGGCCACACUGGGACUGAGACACGGCCCAGACUCCUACGGGAGGCAGCAGUGGGGAAUAUUGCACAAUGGGCGGAAGCCUGAUGCAGCAACGCCGCGUGAGGGAUGACGGCCUUCGGGUUGUAAACCUCUUUUAGCAGGGAAGAAGCGAGAGUGACGGUACCUGCAGAAAAAGCACCGGCUAACUACGUGCCAGCAGCCGCGGUAAUACGUAGGGUGCAAGCGUUAUCCGGAAUUAUUGGGCGUAAAGAGCUCGUAGGCGGUCUGUCGCGUCUGCUGUGAAAUCCCGAGGCUCAACCUCGGGCUUGCAGUGGGUACGGGCAGACUAGAGUGCGGUAGGGGAGAUUGGAAUUCCUGGUGUAGCGGUGGAAUGCGCAGAUAUCAGGAGGAACACCGAUGGCGAAGGCAGAUCUCUGGGCCGUAACUGAC
rnacentral:rRNA from 1 species